UACGUAGGGUGCAAGCGUUGUCCGGAAUUAUUGGGCGUAAAGGGCUCGUAGGCGGUCUGUCACGUCGGGAGUGAAAACUCAGGGCUUAACCCUGAGCCUGCUUCCGAUACGGGCAGACUAGAGGUAUGCAGGGGAGAACGGAAUUCCUGGUGUAGCGGUGAAAUUCGUAGAUAUCGGGAGGAACACCUGUGGCGAAGGCGGCCAUCUGGACAACUACUGACACUGAGACGCGAAAGCGUGGGUAGCAAACAGG
rnacentral:rRNA from 1 species